rnacentral:tRNA from 41 species
GGAGAGAUGGCUGAGUGGACUAAAGCGUCGGAUUGCUAAUCCGUUGUACGAAUUAUUCGUACCGAGGGUUCGAAUCCCUCUCUCUCCGACCCCCC